CCCUGGUUAGCUCAGUUGGUAGAGCGCUCCACCUGUAAUGGAGAGGUCCCGGGUUCGAUACCCCGACCAGGUG
rnacentral:tRNA from 2 species